GGUAGGACGAUCAAUUGCUUUUAAAUUCUGCUCUAUAAUGUUGUAUUAAUUGCUAGGGGAGGCUAGGGAUAGCAAGCCAGUAAUUAGUAUUAGGCUCUUUUCGUCGAGGGAUCGGGUUAAGGGUAGGCUAAGAAAGUUGCAUGACAAUUAAUUAAUCAAACUAAUAAUUCAAGAGUAGAUAAGAGAGAGCGGAUUAGAUGAAAU
rnacentral:lncRNA from 1 species